ensembl:snRNA U6 U6 spliceosomal RNA
GUGCUCGCCUCAGCAGCACAUAGACUAAAAUUGGAACGAUACAUAGAAGAUUAGUAUGGCUCCUGCACAAGGAUGACAUGCAAAUCCAUGAAGCAUUCCAUAUUAAA